UCCCGAGCGGCCAAAGGGAGCAGACUGUAAAUCUGCCGUCACAGACUUCGAAGGUUCGAAUCCUUCC
rnacentral:tRNA from 2 species